rnacentral:rRNA from 1 species
GAUGAACGCUGGCGGCGUGCUUAACACAUGCAAGUCGAACGGUGAAGGCGGAGCUUGCUCUGCUGGAUCAGUGGCGAACGGGUGAGUAACACGUGAGCAAUCUGCCCCUGACUCUGGGAUAAGCGCUGGAAACGGCGUCUAAUACUGGAUACGAGCUGCGAAGGCAUCUUCAGCAGCUGGAAAGAACUUCGGUCAGGGAUGAGCUCGCGGCCUAUCAGCUUGUUGGUGAGGUAACGGCUCACCAAGGCGUCGACGGGUAGCCGGCCUGAGAGGGUGACCGGCCAAAAUGGGAAUGAGGAACGGCCCAAACUCCUAAGGGAGGCAGGAGGUGGGAAUAUUGCACAAUGGGCGAAAGCCUGAUGCAGCAACGCCGCGUGAGGGACGACGGCCUUCGGGUUGUAAACCUCUUUUAGCAGGGAAGAAGCGAAAGUGACGGUACCUGCAGAAAAAGCGCCGGCUAACUACGUG